AUUGAACGCUGGCGGCAGGCCUAACACAUGCAAGUCGAGCGCGCGGCGGACGGGUGAGUAAUGUAUGGGGCUCUGCCAGAGAGAGGGGGAUAACUACUGGAAACGGGCGAUAAUACCGCAUACUAUCGGAUGCACCCAUAUGGGAUUAGCUAGUAGGUGGGGUAAAGGCUCACCUAGGCGACGAUCCCUAGCUGGUCUGAGAGGAUGAACAGCCACACUGGAACUGAGACACGGCCCAGACUCCUACGGGAGGCAGCAGUGGGGAAUAUUGCACAAUGGGCGCAAGCCUGAUGCAGCCAUGCCGCGUGUAUGAAGAAGGCCUUAGGGUUGUAAAGUACUUUCAGCGGGGAGGCGUUACCCGCAGAAGAAGCACCGGCUAACUCCGUGCCAGCAGCCGCGGUAAUAC
rnacentral:rRNA from 1 species